rnacentral:rRNA from 1 species
UGGGCAACCUGCCCCAGACACUGGGAUAACUCCGGGAAACCGGGGCUAAUACCGGAUACUCCGGUCGAACCUCAUGGUUCGAUCGGGAAAGCUCCGACGGUCUGGGAUGGGCCCGCGGCCUAUCAGCUUGUUGGCGAGGUAACGGCUCACCAAGGCGACGACGGGUAGCUGGUCUGAGAGGACGACCAGCCACACUGGAACUGAGAUACGGUCCAGACUCCUACGGGAG